rnacentral:rRNA from 1 species
GUAGUCCACGCCGUAAACUAUGGAUGCUAGCUGUUGGAGGUAUCGACCCCUUCAGUAGCGAAGCUAACGCGUUAAGCAUCCCGCCUGUGGAGUACGGUCGCAAGACUAAAACAUAAAGGAAUUGACGGGGAUCAGCACAAGCGGUGGAUUAUGCUCUUUAAUUCGAUGCUAACCGAUAAACCUUACCAGGGUUUGACAUCUAGGGAAGCACUACGAAAGUAGAGUGUGCCUUUUGGAACCCUAAGACAGGUGUUGCAUGGCCGUCGUCAGCUCGUGUCGUGAGAUGUUUGGUUAAGUCCAUCAACGAGCGCAACCCUUGUGAAUAGUUGUAUUUUUCUAUUCAGACUGCCUUAGUAAUAGGGA